UAGAUUAGGUUAGAAUGAUUUUUUUUGUUUUUUCGGAUACAAGCGAUAAUUUUCUUUAAUCUAAUCUAAACUACAGGGACAGAGAUUUGAACUCGAGUGUAGAAUAGGGAGCAUAUCCGCUAUAAUCAACUUGGCGAAACCCAUAUCUACAAUAAUAAGAAUGAUCUCUAACAGUAUUGAUGAGUGCAACGUUUUUUUUUUUUUUUUUUUUUUUUUUGGUGUUGUUCUUGUUGAUACAAAGUAAUAUUGAAGGAGGUGAAUUUCAAACACAUCUCAAGUGGUAAUUUACUCUUAACCACUUGACCUACAAACUCGUUGCAUUGAGAUCACCUUUUAGUCAAACAAGUUUUCUUAAAUUUUUUGUUUGAUUAAGGACAUUCAAGGGCCAUUACAUAAUUAAAAUUUGAUGAAAAAGUGCUUGACUGAGCAAAUUUGUCAUCACUAAGAGCACUUCCAUUCGUGCAGGCCAGCACGGGCAAAAGGCCCCCUAGCCCUCAAAAAUCAACUCUAGCUGUGAAGGCUAGU
rnacentral:lncRNA from 1 species